GAUGCCGGCUUCGAUACCAAGUACCAAAAAUCGACGCCAAUUCCCCGCCGCUAAUUUGACGCAAGUCAGGAAAUCGAUAUCAAUGUGCCGUUAAAAACGUAACAAGCAGGCAGGAAACAGUGACGCGCAAGCCCAAAUAAUAAAUCAAAAAAGGACGUAAUAACAGCCCCCCUCUAAGAAUCAUCCUCAACCGCCCCCGCCCACGACGCGUCUAACAUCGUUCGCUGUUUUGUUUGUGCUGUUGCGCGCUGGCUGCUCCAGGCGACUUUGAAUGUGUGUGUGUGUGCGUGUGCGAAUUACAAAAUUAAAUAAUUUAAUAACUACAGCCAUACAAACAUAUAUGUAUGUAUAUUUCUGAGUUAAGAAAUAACAAUUCGCUAAAAAAAAAAAGAAAAACAAAACUCACAUGUGCGCGUAAAAUAUAUAGCCUUGUACAUGCUUGUGUAUCUGAGUUGUGUGUGUGGGUGCUGUUAUCCAGAGCAGCUGCCCUUUGUGUGGGUUGGGAGUAUUAAGCUGUGUUACUGUAACUGCGUUUUAGUUUCUACUAACGGGAGGCGCGUUUCAGCGUGUUAUUUGCUAUUCUUUUUGAGUUUAUUUUUUGCAAGGGACUAGCGAAACGAAGAGGGACGGACACACACGAGUGUCAAGUCACUUGACUGGCCGUUUGCUUUAUUUGCGUUGCUUAAUUAUGUACAUAUAUAUAAAUAUAUAUAUAAUUAUUGUACGUGCAAGAACAAUUUAGAGUAAAAGAAUGACACACUGUCUACGCACAAGUAUAUACAUAUAUAUAUGUAUGUACAUGUACAUAUAUAUACAUACAUUGAUAUGUAUGUAUGUGUGUACAUAAAUUCUGCGACGCAAUUGAAGACAUCGAAGGCCAAACAACUUUGCCGUUUUUUGUUUUCGCCUUCUUUUUACGCUUUUCUGUUAGUGGCCUUUGUUUUUGUUAUCACAACUUCACUCACAAUUCUCACACUAUUUGCUGUUGAUUGCCAACGCGUGCGCUCAUUCUCAAUGCCAAAACGCCAACGCAGUCCCACUCAAAUACGGAGCUGCGCUCAAACGAACUAACUGUAAAGUGAACAGUUAACAGUUUUAAAAUGCAAUUAUUUUGAGGAUUUCUGCAAGGAACUUGCAUACAUACAAACAUACGUACGCAGUGUUAGUUUCUUUGUUCUUGUUUGUAUACCCUAUUUUCGAAGUGAACAAAAGUAUAUUGCCAUGCAAAUUCCUAUAUUUUUUUUUUAGUCUCAGUCACUAACUGCAUCUAUUUCUAUAUAUUUGUU
rnacentral:sRNA from 1 species